rnacentral:rRNA from 1 species
CCUACGGGGUGCAGCAGUGAGGAAUAUUGGUCAAUGGGCGCGAGCCUGAACCAGCCAAGUCGCGUGAGGGAAGACGGUCCUAUGGAUUGUAAACCUCUUUUGUCGGGGAGCAAAAGACGCCACGCGUGGCGUUCCGAGAGUACCCUAAGAAAAAGCAUCGGCUAACUCCGUGCCAGCAGCCGCGGUAAUACGGAGGAUGCGAGCGUUAUCCGGUUUUAUUGGGUUUAACGGGUGCGCAGGCGGAAGAUCAAGUCAGCGGGAAAAUUGAGAGGCUCAACCUCUUCGAGCCGUUGAAACUGGUUUUCUUGAGUGAGCGAGAAGUAUGCGGAAUGCGUGGUGUAGCGGUGAAAUGCGUAGAUAUCACGCAGAACUCCGAUUGCGAAGGCAGCAUACCGGCGCUCAACUGACGCUCAUGCACGAAAGUGUGGGUAUCGAACAGGAUUAGAUACCCUUGUAGUC